rnacentral:rRNA from 1 species
GACGUAAGGGCAAGCGUUGUUCCGGAAUUACUGUGCGUAAAGGGUGCGUAGGCGGUCUGUUAAGUUGGAUGUGAAAGCCCCGGGCUCAACCUGGGAAUGGCAUCCAAAACUAGGCAGGCUGGAGUGCGGUAGAGGAUGGUGGAAUUCCCGGUGUAGCGGUGAAAUGCGUAGAGAUCGGGAGGAACAUCGAUGGCGAAGGCAGCCAUCUGGACCAGCACUGACGCUGAGGCACGAAAGCGUGGGGAGCAAACAGGAUUAGAUACCCGU